rnacentral:rRNA from 1 species
UACGAAGGGUGCAAGCGUUACUCGGAAUUACUGGGCGUAAAGCGUGCGUAGGUGGUUUGUUAAGUCUGCUGUGAAAGCCCCGGGCUCAACCUGGGAAUGGCAGUGGAUACUGGCAAGCUAGAGUGCGGUAGAGGGGUGUGGAAUUCCCGGUGUAGCGGUGAAAUGCGCAGAGAUCGGGAGGAACACCAGUGGCGAAGGCGGCACCCUGGACCAGCACUGACACUGAGGCACGAAAGCGUGGGGAGCAAACAGG